UGGAGGGACUGCCGGCGACAAGCCGGAGGAAGGUGGGGAUGACGUCAAGUCAUCAUGGCCCUUAUGUCCAGGGCGACACACGUGCUACAAUGGCCGGCACAGCGGGAAGCGGAGGGGCGACCCUGAGCGGAUCCCUUAAAGCCGGUACGCAGUUCGGAUUGAAGUCUGCAACUCGACUUCAUGAAGCUGGAAUCGCUAGUAAUCGUGGAUCAGCCAAGCCGCGGUGAAUACGUUCCCGGGCCUU
rnacentral:rRNA from 1 species